rnacentral:rRNA from 1 species
GACGAACGCUGGCGGCGUGCCUAACACAUGCAAGUCGAACGGAAAGGCCCUGCUUUUGUUGGGUGCUCGAUUGGCGAACGCGUGAGUAACACGUGUGUAACCUGCCCUUGACUUUGGGAUAUCUUCAGGAAACUCGGGCUAAUAUCGGAUAGGAGCUCCUGCUGCAUGGUGGGCGUUGGAAAGUUUCGGCUGUUGGGGAUGGACUCGCGGCUUACCAGCUUGUUGGUGGGGUUGUUGCUUACCAAGGCUUUGACGGGUAGCCGGCCUGAGAGGGUGAACGGGCACAAUGGGACUGAGAUAGGGAGCAGACUCGUACGGGAGGCAGCAGUGGGGAAUAUUGCACAAUGGGCGGAAGCGUGAUGCGGCAGCGCCGCGUGCGGGAUGACGGCCUUUGGGGUGUAAACCGCUGUCGCCUGUGACGAAGCGUGAGUGACGGUAAUGGGUAAAGAAGCACCGGCUAACUACGUG